rnacentral:rRNA from 1 species
AGCGAACAUUGGCGGUAGGCUUAACACAUGCAAGUCGAGCGAGGCGUAAUAGUCGAGCGGCGAACGGGUGAGUAAUACAUGGGAAUCUACCCUGAAGUGGGGGAUAACGUUCAGAAAUGGACGCUAAUACCGCAUAAUCCACAUUGGGAAAGCGUUGCAGCGCUUUAGGAUGAGCCCAUGGCUGAUUAGCUAGUUGGUGAGGUAACGGCUCACCAAGGCGACGAUCAGUAGCUGGUCUGAGAGGAUGAUCAGCCACACUGGAACUGAGACACGGUCCAGACUCCUACGGGAGGCAGCAGUGGGGAAUCUUGCGCAAUGGGGGCAACCCUGACGCAGCCAUACCGCGUGAGUGAUGAAGGUCUUCGGAUUGUAAAGCUCUUUCGGCGGGGACGACGAUGACGGUACCCGCAAAAGAAGUCACGGCUAACUUCGUGCCAGCCGCCGCGGUAA